CCUACGGGAGGCAGCAGUGGGGAAUCUUCCGCAAUGGACGAAAGUCUGACGGAGCAACGCCGCGUGUACGAUGAAGGCCUUCGGGUUGUAAAGUACUGUCUUCAGGGACGAAUGGUACCUAUGAAAAUAUUGUGGGUACAUGACGGUACCUGAGGAGGAAGCCCCGGCUAACUACGUGCCAGCAGCCGCGGUAAU
rnacentral:rRNA from 1 species